rnacentral:rRNA from 1 species
UACGUAGGGGGCAAGCGUUGUCCGGAAUCAUUGGGCGUAAAGCGCGCGUAGGCGGUUCGGUAAGUGGGAUGUGAAAGCCCUGGGCUCAACCUGGGAACUGCAUUUCAAACUGCCGAGCUAGAGUGUGGUAGAGGGAGGUAGAAUUUCCUGUGUAGCGGUGAAAUGCGUAGAUAUGCGGGGGAACACCGAUGGCGAAGGCAAUCCCCUGGGCCUGCACUGACGCUCAUGCACGAAAGCGUGGGGAGCAAACAGG